GACGAACGCUGGCGGCGUGCUUAACACAUGCAAGUCGAGCGGUAAGGCCCUUUCGGGGUACGACGAGCGGCGAACGGGUGAGUAACACGUGGGUGUACCUGCCCUCAGCUCUGGGAUAAGCCUGGGAAACUGGGUCUAAUACUGGAUAUGACUCCACGGUGCAUGUCGUGGGGUGGAAAGCCUUGUGCGGCUGAGGAUGGGCCCGCGGCCUAUCAGCUUGUUGGUGGGGGUGANGGGCCUACCAAGGCGACGACGGGUAGCCGGCCUGAGAGGGCGACCGGCCACACUGGGACUGAGACA
rnacentral:rRNA from 1 species